UACGUAGGUGGCAAGCGUUGUCCGGAUUUAUUGGGCGUAAAGGGAGCGCAGGCGGUGACUUAAGUCUGAUGUGAAAGCCCACGGCUCAACCGUGGAAGGUCAUUGGAAACUGGGUCACUUGAAUAUAGAAGAGGAAAGUGGAAUUCCUAGUGUAGCGGUGAAAUGCGUAGAUAUGUGGAGGAAUACCAGUGGCGAAGGCGACUCUCUGGUCUGUCUCUGACGCUGAGGUGCGAAAGCGUGGGUAGCGAACAGGAUUAGAUA
rnacentral:rRNA from 1 species